rnacentral:misc_RNA from 1 species
GAUGAAGAACGUAGCGAAAUGCGAUAAGUAAUGCGAAUUGCAGAAUUCCAGUGAGUCUUCGAAUCUUUGAACGCACAUUGCGCCCUUUGGUAUUCCGAAGGGCAUGCCUGUUCGAGCGUCAUUAUCACCCCUCAAGCCCUCGGCUUGGUGUUGGAAGGUUUGGUGGAGGCCCCCUCGGGGGCUCCUGCCCCUCCCAAAGACAAUGACGGCGGCCUCGUUGGACCCCCGGUACACUGAGUUCUUCACGGGACACGUAUCGGACACAUGGGUUUACGGGACACGGUCUGCCUCCCCUCAGGGAGAAUCUUUCUAAGGUUGACCUCGGAUCAGGUAGGGAUACCCGCUGAACUUAAGCAUAUCAAUAAGCGGAGGA